rnacentral:rRNA from 1 species
UACGUAGGGGGCAAGCGUUGUCCGGAAUCAUUGGGCGUAAAGCGCGCGUAGGCGGCCCGGUAAGUCCGUUGUGAAAGUCAAAGGCUCAACCUUUGAACGCCGAUGGAUACUGCCGGGCUAGAGUCCGGAAGAGGCGAGUGGAAUUCCUGGUGUAGCGGUGGAAUGCGCAGAUAUCAGGAGGAACACCAAUAGCGAAGGCAGCUCGCUGGGACGGUACUGACGCUGAGGCGCGAAAGCGUGGGGAGUGAACAGG